UAGUCCGCGCCGUAAACGAUGGAUACUAGCUGUUCGGACUUCGGUCUGAGUGGCUAAGCGAAAGUGAUAAGUAUCCCACCUGGGGAGUACGUUCGCAAGAAUGAAACUCAAAGGAAUUGACGGGGGCCCGCACAAGCGGUGGAGCAUGUGGUUUAAUUCGAUGAUACGCGAGGAACCUUACCAGGGCUUAAAUGUAGUGGGACAGGUCUGGAAACAGAUCCUUCUUCGGACUCAUUACAAGGUGCUGCAUGGUUGUCGUCAGCUCGUGCCGUGAGGUGUCAGGUUAAGUCCUAUAACGAGCGCAACCCCUAUUGUUAGUUGCCAGCGAGUAAUGUCGGGGACUCUAACGAGACUGCCCACGUAAGCGGAGAGAAAGGUGGGGACGACGUCAAAUCAUCAUGGCCUUUAUGCCUAGGGCUACACACGUGCUACAAUGGCAGGUACAGAGGGUUGCGAAGGGGUGACCUGGAGCUAAUCUCAGAAAGCCUGUCCCAGUUCGGA
rnacentral:rRNA from 1 species